UUUGUCACGUUGUUCUUUGCGUUUUUGUCGUUUUUCUUG
rnacentral:sRNA from 1 species